rnacentral:misc_RNA from 1 species
UAUUCUUAUACUUCCUUCUUCUGCACGUGACAUUAUACUUGUCCAGUUGCUAUUCUAAUGGCUUCUAGUUUUAAUUUCUUUCUUAAAAAUGAUAAGAACAUAUAUGUUAAGAGGUGUCUACCUGACAUAGAUGUACCGAAAGUUUAAACUUUUCCUUAGGUUUGGGAAGAAACACUUAAGUCAUCAUCUCUUUACAAUAGACAUAUUUUUAACCUGGACCAUUCAUUUUUUUUCCUUUUUCAAGUUGAAAAGAAAAAACUUGCGUCUUCUGUCUUCUAUCUUUCCAAUGAACACUAG